rnacentral:misc_RNA from 1 species
UAUUAGCAUUCCUCAUUCAAUUUUUAAUUUUUUUUUUAUGACUGUUUUAGUUGUUUGGUUUUUCACAUUGUCAGAUGGAGUUUUUAAACUUAUCUUGGUUAAGAUCGAGUACUGAACAAUUUUAACCAAAAAAUCAAAUCAAUCUAAUUUUGUUUUUUCACUCUGAUUUUUCUGUUAAUUGGUUUGGUUUCGGUUACAGAUUUUAAA